AACGAACGCUGGCGGCAGGCUUAACACAUGCAAGUCGAACGCCCCGCAAGGGGAGUGGCAGACGGGUGAGUAACGCGUGGGAACGUGCCCUUCGCUUCGGAAUAGCCCCGGGAAACUGGGAGUAAUACCGAAUACGCCGUAUUGGGAAAGAUUUAUCGGCGAAGGAUCGGCCCGCGUUAGAUUAGCUAGUUGGCGGUGGAAUGGACCACCAAGGCUACGAUCUAUAGCUGGUCUGAGAGGAUGAUCAGCCACACUGGGACUGAGACACGGCCUAGACUCCUACGGGAGGCAGCAGUGGGGAAUCUUGGACAAUGGGCGCAAGCCUGAUCCAGCCAUGCCGCGUGAGUGAAGAAGGCCUUAGGGUUGUAAAACUCUUUCGCCGGAGAAGAUAAUGACGGUAUCCGGAGAAGAAGCCCCGGCUAACUUCGUGCCAGCAGCCGCGGUAACAC
rnacentral:rRNA from 1 species